rnacentral:lncRNA from 1 species
AAAAAAAAAAAUCCCCUCUGAACACCCUUCUCUCACACUCUUGCCAAUAUUCACCACACACAUUUAGUUAUUUUUCUAUUUUACUUUAAUGAUUCAAGUAUGAAAGCCUUCAAGAGUGUAGUUUCUAAGUGUUCUUGGAGCAUAAACAAGCCAUUUCAAGCCUCUUCCGUCCAUCCAUUUUAGCGUCUUACCUAGCUAGCCUAGUGGACGAGUUUUGAGUCGAUGUAUCCAUUUCGGGCUUUGGUUGCUAGCACUUGCAUAUACGCGUUUCAGGUUGCAUUUUCAUAACUAUGGAACGGUUGGAAUAGGAGAACCCAUGGGAAUUCGAGUACUUAGCG